GCGCAGCUCCUGGGCAGCACGCAGCACGGAGGCCAGGUUGCCCAGGUCUACCUCCACGGUGGAGACCUGCGCGGCGGGGUACUCCUGCAGCACCAGGUCCCGCGUGGCCUCCGCCUUCUGGGCGUUGCGGCAGGCGAGGCACAGGUGGAUGCGUCCAUCCUCCCCCAGCAGCCGCCGGCACAGAGCGAGCCCCACGCCGCCGCUGGCUCCCGUCACCAACACCACGCGCUCCAUCCCGGUCCAGACAGCGCUCCCGGCGCGCCCGCUACCGCCGCCCUAUAUCCGCUACCCGCCCUCUCCUCCUGCCUACGUCAUCGCCCCGCCUCCCUCCUCGGCCAAUGGGCGCGGGCGUGGGGGGCGUGGCCACGCGGGCGGUGGCGUGAUGGUGGGGCGAGGGGCGGGGCGGCGGGGUGUGGGCGUGGCCUGUUAGGCCCCGCCCACCCCGCGCUCUCUCGCCCCGCCCACUGGGCGCCCCGCU
rnacentral:lncRNA from 1 species